rnacentral:rRNA from 1 species
CCUACGGGAGGCAGCAGUAGGGAAUAUUGCUCAAUGGUGGAAACCCUGAAGCAGCAACGCCGCGUGGAGGAUGAAGGUUUUCGGAUUGUAAACUCCUUUUUUUAGAGAAGUUAAUGACGGUAUCUAACGAAUAAUCACUGGCUAACACCGUGCCAGCAGCCGCAGUAACAUGGAGGGUGCAAGCGUUACUCGGAAUCAAUGGGCGCAAAGCGCGCGUAGGCGGGAUAGCAAGUCAGAUGUGAAAUCCUAUGGCUUAACCAUAGAACUGCAUUUGAAACUGGUAUUCUAGAGUAGGGGAGAGGUAGGUGGAAUGCUUGGUGUAGGGGUAAAAUGCGUAGAGAUCAAGAGGAAUACUGAUUGCGAAGGCGACCUGCUAGAACAUAACUGACGCUGAUGCGCGAAAGCGUGGGGAGCAAACAGGAUUAGAUACCCGUGUAGUC